rnacentral:lncRNA from 1 species
AGGUCAGACCAGGAAGACAGAGGCCAAACCCAGCAUCACACUUUGACCUCCCCGGGAACACAGUGGCAGUGCUUGCCUUUCCCAUGUCUAGGAGUUUGCCUAAAUCUUCAAAGAUAUGUGAGGCUUGCCUAGAACAUCAUCAUCAGGAAUGCUGGUCCUUCAAUUUGUUUUUUGAAUUGAAGUGUAGUUUACAGUGAUCGAGUUGAAAAUAAGGCUCUGAAUGAAAGCUAACUAUUAAAAGGGUGUGGGCACAGGAGCAACCAACACAGACCCCACAGGGGGAAGAGCCCUCCCCUGUAAGGAAGCGAGAGAUCUUUGAAGCAUGCAAGCACGCUGCUCCACAGGCUUAGCUGCACAGAGACGCACUACUCCAUUUACUCACGGGCUGCCCGUGGGGCUUGGCGAAAGAGCAGGCUUGGCUUAGGGGAACUACUGAGACACAUCCACAGAUUUAUUAAAAAUCAUCAACUUCAAGUUAUUUGGAUGGAAACAUUGCCAAAUCAUAGAGAUGUUUGCUACCACCCGCACACCAAGCAGCUGGGUAACUAGAAGUGCAGGAUCAGCUUAUUCACCUCCGAAAGCCUGCAUGCAACCGCUGAGGUCGCCUCUAUUUUUUACAUAGUUCUACUUGGUGUAUGUAACCCCACAGAGAAACCUGGAAGAAUGCAUGAAACCUAGUAAGGCAACCAGCACAUGCAACAGAAUGAACCGUUUCUUUCCAUCUGAAUGCCUAAAUGUGGACUCCGAUCCUUUCUACCAAGUCCUAAGCUUGGGAAAAGAGGACAAGGACAGGGGCUCUGUCCCAUAUCAUAAUGUGCUUGUGAAUGGCUAAAAUCACAAUGCUGAAAUAAGUGUGUGUAAUAAAAUAAUUGCACCGAAUUGAAGAAUGUUUCACUGUUUAUUU